CCUACGGGAGGCAGCAGUCGAGAAUCAUUCACAAUGGGGGAAACCCUGAUGGUGCGACGCCGCGUGGGGGAAUGAAGGUCUUCGGAUUGUAAACCCCUGUCAUGUGGGAGCAAAUUAAAAAGAUAGUACCACAAGAGGAAGAGACGGCUAACUCUGUGCCAGCAGCCGCGGUAAUACAGAGGUCUCACGCGUUGUUCGGAAUCACUGGGCGUAAAGCGUGCGUAGGCUGUUUCGUAAGCCGUGUGUGAAAGGUGCGGGCUCAACCCGCGGACGGCACAUGAUACUGCGAGACUAGAGUAAUGGAGGGGGAACCGGAAUUCUCGGUGUAGCAGUGAAAUGCGUAGAUAUCGAGAGGAACACUCGUGGCGAAGGCGGGUUCCUGGACAUUAACUGACGCUGAGGCACGAAGGCCAGGGGAGCGAAAGGGAUUAGAUACCCCGGUAGUC
rnacentral:rRNA from 1 species